CCUACGGGAGGCAGCAGUGGGGAAUAUUGCACAAUGGGGGAAACCCUGAUGCAGCGACGCCGCGUGAGUGAAGAAGUAUUUCGGUAUGUAAAGCUCUAUCAGCAGGGAAGAAAAUGACGGUACCUGUCUAAGAAGCCCCGGCUAACUACGUGCCAGCAGCCGCGGGAAUACGUAGGGGGCAAGCGUUAUCCGGAUUUACUGGGUGUAAAGGGAGCGUAGACGGCAAGACAAGUCAGAAGUGAAAGCCCAGGGCUCAACCCUGGGACUGCUUUUGAAACUGCCGGGCUGGAGUGCAGGAGAGGUAAGCGGAAUGCCUAGUGUAGCGGUGAAAUGCGUAGAUAUUAGGAGGAACACCAGUGGCGAAGGCGGCUGACUGGACUGUAACUGACGUUGAGGCUCGAAAGCGUGGGGAGCAAACAGGAUUAGAUACCCUGGUAGUC
rnacentral:rRNA from 1 species